UGCAAAGAGAACAUUUUCAAGAAAGAAUUUUUGAAUAAACAAGUGUCGAGGUUACAAGGAAAAUGGAGAAAACUGAGUAUCGUGCUGUCAUAAAGUACCUUCAUUUGAAAGGCAUGGCUCCAUCAGAAAUCCAUGAAGAUAUGGUUAGAACCUUAACAGACAAUGCUCCUUCAUAUGCAACAGCCAA